UUCCAGUGGAUAGCUCAGUCAGUAGAGCAUGAGACUCUUAAUCUCAGGGUUGUAGGUUUUAGCCCCACAUUGGGGGAAA